AUCUGCAAGACAAGACAUGCUUACAGGGAAAGGGUAAAUAAAAAUAUACCACAAAACAGAUAAGCCCAACAAUAUGCAUUUAGCAAAAGCAUAAAGACUUCUACAGAGACACCUGCUGCAAUUGUUCAUGUAUUUCCAGGAUGCAAUGGAAAGACGCAGCCCAAAAAUUUGACAAUAUAAAGACAAAACCCAUACUUAAAACAAAGAUAUUUGAUUUAAUUUGUUUGUAAUGAGGAGUCCUAACUGGUAGGAAUGUUUUGAUUAGUUAUUUAAUGACUCUUAAAAUCUACUGUGCUGAUUUUACAUUUAGUCAUCUAAAUUCCUGUAUGGGCCCAACAAUUUUAUUUUGGGGUUUUCUAUUUGCAUCUACAGGAACUUAAGACUUUUUAAUGGUCAUGGAGAACAACGUAAAACUUGGCACGGUUAACUCCCCAGCAGCUUAAGAUACCAAAAGAAAAGAAAACCCUCCACAUAACUCUGAUGCAGCAACUUUGGGAAAGACAAUUAUUAUUUAGCACAGCCAAGAGUAUCACCAAGUCCAUACAGGACAUGAAAACAGAUACACUUACCUUCAUUUGGUGUCCAAGAUAGACCAGCUGUUCCAUUUCCUGACUCCCUGCUCUUUAAAUUAUCAUCAUCAGGUAAAAUAGAGUCAUUAAAGGGAUUUUUCCUUUGCUAGAAGAGAAAGGACAUAAAUUGUGCAUCAAACAUUUAAUGUCACUUUUUUUUUUUUUUUUUUUUUACCAAAACUAAUUCCACGGAAGCACAGUAAUUUUUUUCCAGCAGAAAAGCAUUUAACUGAGUCUCUUAUAAGAUGAUGAAUUCACAGCAUUACAAAAUAGUGAAAGUAAUGGCAAUUUCUGACAUGUUCAGUGACUGCCCAACUUUGCCUUGUUGAAAUCACUGGGAACGAAUCCAGGCUGGUGAUACUUAACCUUUUAGAUCAGUGGGGUACUUGCUAUCUGGCUGCACUGAGGGCCCCCAGUCCUCUCCAGUAGGGAAAGUGGCUGCCAAAGUCAGAGAGAGGGCUGUGGAGGUACUGGCAGCCUGGCACAGGGCAGAGAAGGUGAUGCAUGAGGGCACGAUUUUUGCCACUGAUCUCCUGUGCUAUGGACUGGAUCCAGUCACUUUAGGGGCAAAUUAGGGCUUCAGGAUGUUGGUUGAGCAUGACUGAUGUAGACCAACAGAGGGAAUUUGAAUAUCCCACCCUUUGGGAACUAUAGUUUCAUCUCUGCUACUGUGACUUCCAGAAAGUAUUCAGACCCAUAAAAAUAUUCUAGCUAGAUUGCCUUUGUUUUCCUCACUUUCCAGUUUUCUUUCAUGGGCAAAGUAGGUGGCAUUAGAACCACAAAUCUACGGAUCACAAUUUUUUUUUAACCAUCGAAACAUGAACAGGAGCUACAUCUCUCCAGCCUUUUAUACACCACAUACUGCUGUGGGACACACAGAUACUCCAGAUGUCCCAACACUUAGGAUAUGGGAGGUAUUUGUGGCUGGAUUCACUUCUGCUUUUCUAAAACAUAUGAAACUGUACAACAUACUGACUAGAUAGGAUAGAAGAAUACUCAGAUGCAUGACUCGCAUAAAAUAUAGAGCUAGUAGAAAUCCUUUAAGAAAAUGUUUCCCUGUCAGAACACCAACUUCACAAAAUCAAAAUAUUUCACAAGACACCCGCCUUUGGAAGAACGAAGGAAAGAAUGGUUAUUUUUUUGGUUGGGAAAAAAGUGAAUGUCUGACUUUGUCCUAAAAUCAGGACAAAAGUUUUGCAAGCAGAAAACUGUAUUAUGGAUCUAAACCUUAGUACUAAUAGACCUCCUCUGGCAUGACUGGUAAUAAUAGGUGACCAUCUUCUAAACUGGUUUAAAAGCUGGUUUUGCCAGCUAUCACAAUGUGCUGCUAUGCAGCCUGGGUUAUAGUCAGAUGGCUUUGCACCAACUAACAUUCCAAGAUAUUCCCACUGUGAUGUUUCCAUAAGGCAAAAAUACCCAAGUCCUUCAUUUUAUUAUCUUUAAAUUCUUUACUAUCGUUAUUAGCAAAGUGACAAAAAGGCACACAACAGCUUUAAGAAAUGCUUCCUUGAUACUUCAAUACUGGGCCUACCUUUGCUGGCGACACUGCUGCCUUCAUGGAACUUUCCUGUAGUCUGUCUAAUGUUACUGUCGAAGCAUGAGAACUAUGAGAAAACAAAAGUUUAUAAUGAAAUCAGGACAUCAUUUUAGGACUGGAGAAAUUAAAAUUAAGGUGCAGAUUUUUUUUAAAAAGCAACUUCAACAUGAUGGCAUGUUCUUCUACACAAAUCUGUUCCUUUCAGGUCUGAAAACAAGUUUCUUCCAGUCUUAACCUAUGAAGGAAAGGGAUGAAAUUUUCCUUUUCCACACACAGUCUUACAAGCAAAGACAUUUUGGCAUGAAAAUUUGAUACAUCUUUACACUGGCAUGUAGUAGUAGUAGUAGUUGUUAGAGAUGCACCAGCACAUCAGUCCGUAUCAUACUGGCACCAAUAAGAGGAAAAUUUACAUUAUCGGCAAUCAGCUUUUUUUGGCUGGUUAUGACCAAAAAUGUCACCAAUAAAUGCCACAUGCAUGUACGCAGCCACAACAUACAUGUGGUCAGGCUGGCAACUUGGA